AUGGCCUGGACCCCUCUCCUUCUCGGCCUCCUGGCUCACUGCACAGGCUCUGUGACCUCCUAUGAGCUGACUCAGCCACGCCCAGUGUCAGUGGCCCCAGGACAGACAGCCAGGAUCACCUGUGGGGGAAAUGACAUUGGAAAUAAAUAUGUGUACUGGUACCAGCAGAAGCCAGGCCAGGCCCCUGUGCUGGUCAUCUAUGAGGAUAGCAACCGGCCCUCAGGGAUCCCUGAGCGAUUCUCUGGCUCCAACUCAGGGAACACCGCCACCCUGACGAUGAGCGCGGUCGAGGCUGGGGAUGAGGCCGACUAUUACUGUCAGGUGUGGGACAGCAGUAGUAAACAUGACACAGUGACACAGGCAGAUGGGGAACUCCUCUCCUUUCUCACCAGGAAGUCCAAAAGGAAACCUGCUCUGCGGUUUCUCAUCCAGGACAGUGACAGCUUCCUGAUGCUUGUGUGCUGUGGUCCCUGA